UGCGGUCAAGCCAGCCGCACUUCAGAAAAACACCGUCAAGCCAGCCGCGAGUGAAAUUUAGAUGCGCGUGUAUUACGGUAAUCACGGUAAUGGCAGGAACAACAGAGAGGAAACGCGCUUUCAGAGCGCUUUUCAUCUACACGUUCAGAUUUGAUAUAUGAUGACCUUUUUUGCCCAUCUGCUCUAAUAUUCGUGUAACUUAUUGUUUUCCUUGACUGUUCUGUAUUACUAUAAUUUUCAACCUUUCAAAGCAUUACAAUAUUAGUAGAAAACGAGAUAUGGGACAUUCAUUGAUUUAGAAGACACUUUUUUAUGAUGAGAAAAAACAAUUAAAGGUCAGUUCUUAAAAAAGACAUCCCAUACUAUAUCUAUACCUCAUAUAAAACCAUUUUACUGGAGCCUUUUCGAGAUAUAGGAUAAUAUUACACUUUACAAGUCUAUUAAGAUCCCAUUUCUAAUAAGUAGAAAAAAACAAUGGUCAGUUCUUAUAAAGGACAUGCCAUACUAUAUGCACACCUCAUAUCAAACCAUUCUACUGCAGCAUUUUAGAGAUAUUGGACAUUAUUACACUUUAAAGGGCUAUAAAAGAUCCAAUGUCUAAUAAGUAGAAAAAACAAUAGUUGGUUCUUAUAAGGGACGUCCCAUACCAUAUGCACAC